rnacentral:rRNA from 1 species
UAGGCGUACGGGUGAGUAACACGUGGAUAAUCUACCUCUUAGUGGGGAAUAACUCUGGGAAACCGGAGCUAAUACCGCAUAAGCCUGGAAAGGGAAAGCAGCAAUGCGCUGAGAGAGGAGUCCGCGGCCGAUUAGCUAGUUGGCAGGGUAAAAGCCUACCAAGGCUAUGAUCGGUAGCCGGCCUGAGAGGGCACACGGCCACACUGGCACUGAAACACGGGCCAG